rnacentral:rRNA from 1 species
UACGUAGGGGGCAAGCGUUGUCCGGAAUCAUGGGGCGUAAAGGGUGUGUAGGUGGCGCCGUAAGUCGGGUGUGAAAUUUCGGAGCUUAACUCCGAAACUGCAUUCGAUACUGCGGUGCUUGAGGACUGGAGAGGAGACUGGAAUUCAUGGUGUAGCAGUGAAAUGCGUAGAGAUCAUGAGGAAGACCAGUGGCGAAGGCGGGUCUCUGGACAGUUCCUGACGCUGAGGCACGAAGGUCAGGGGAGCAAACGGG